rnacentral:sRNA from 1 species
AUCGAUGCGAGGUAUUAGAGCACCACCCGGACCGUUCACCCCAUAGCCGCCUGCCUUAUCGCUGUGGGUGAAAAGUUGAAUCACAGGCUAACAUAGGUGGGUGUGCUGAUGCAGUAGUGCAUUCUGAAUGUGGUGAAAUGAGGGAAGAAGAUGAUGGAGAAUUGUGACUGGAAUAUCUUUUCUAAGAUGACAAGUGUUAAAUGUUAUUACUUUUUUAAAUAAAUCUAUCUCCCUUAUCUAUCCAUCUAUCGACACAACAGAUAUACAGCCAGACUGUAUUCAGAUUGGGAAUCUCUUCAGCAAAUAAGUAGGGCUUUUCGAAUCUCUAUAUUUAUUGGUUAGUAGUACGGGAUAUCU